UCCCUGGUUGUCCAGUGGUUAGGACUCAGUACUUUCACCACCAGGGGUCCAGGUUCAAUUCCUGGUUGGGAAA
rnacentral:tRNA from 1 species